AAAAUUUUAAAAGUCGAACAGACUUAAUUAUUAAGCUUCUGCACCUAAAAUAAAUUUUAAUCCAACAUCGAGGUCGCAAUCUUCUUAUUUGAUAAGAACUCUAAAAAGAAAUUACG
rnacentral:rRNA from 1 species